rnacentral:rRNA from 1 species
AUGGGGUGACUGCGUACCUUUUGUAUAAUGGGUCAGCGACUUAUAUUCUGUAGCAAGGUUAACCGAAUAGGGGAGCCGAAGGGAAACCGAGUCUUAACUGGGCGUUAAGUUGCAGGGUAUAGACCCGAAACCCGGUGAUCUAGCCAUGGGCAGGUUGAAGGUUGGGUAACACUAACUGGAGGACCGAACCGACUAAUGUUGAAAAAUUAGCGGAUGACUUGUGGCUGGGGGUGAAAGGCCAAUCAAACCGGGAGAUAGCUGGUUCUCCCCGAAAGCUAUUUAGGUAGCGCCUCGUGAAUUCAUCUCCGGGGGUAGAGCACUGUUUCGGCAAGGGGGUCAUCCCGACUUACCAACCCGAUGCAAACUGCGAAUACCGGAGAAUGUUAUCACGGGAGACACACGGCGGGUGCUAACGUCCGUCGUGAAGAGGGAAACAACCCAGACCGCCAGCUAAGGUCCCAAAGUCAUGGUUAAGUGGGAAACGAUGUGGGAAGGCCCAGACAGCCAGGAUGUUGGCUUAGAAGCAGCCAUCAUUUAAAGAAAGCGUAAUAGCUCACUGGUCGAGUCGGCCUGCGCGGAAGAUGUAACGGGGCUAAACCAUGCACCGAAGCUGCGGCAGCGACGCUAUGCGUUGUUGGGUAGGGGAGCGUUCUGUAAGCCUGCGAAGGUGUACUGUGAGGUAUGCUGGAGGUAUCAGAAGUGCGAAUGCUGACAUAAGUAACGAUAAAGCGGGUGAAAAGCCCGCUCGCCGGAAGACCAAGGGUUCCUGUCCAACGUUAAUCGGGGCAGGGUGAGUCGACCCCUAAGGCGAGGCCGAAAGGCGUAGUCGAUGGGAAACAGGUUAAUAUUCCUGUACUUGGUGUUACUGCGAAGGGGGGACGGAGAAGGCUAUGUUGGCCGGGCGACGGUUGUCCCGGUUUAAGCGUGUAGGCUGGUUUUCCAGGCAAAUCCGGAAAAUCAAGGCUGAGGCGUGAUGACGAGGCACUACGGUGCUGAAGCAACAAAUGCCCUGCUUCCAGGAAAAGCCUCUAAGCAUCAGGUAACAUCAAAUCGUACCCCAAACCGACACAGGUGGUCAGGUAGAGAAUACCAAGGCGCUUGAGAGAACUCGGGUGAAGGAACUAGGCAAAAUGGUGCCGUAACUUCGGGAGAAGGCACGCUGAUAUGUAGGUGAAGCGACUUGCUCGUGGAGCUGAAAUCAGUCGAAGAUACCAGCUGGCUGCAACUGUUUAUUAAAAACACAGCACUGUGCAAACACGAAAGUGGACGUAUACGGUGUGACGCCUGCCCGGUGCCGGAAGGUUAAUUGAUGGGGUUAGCGGUAACGCGAAGCUCUUGAUCGAAGCCCCGGUAAACGGCGGCCGUAACUAUAACGGUCCUAAGGUAGCGAAAUUCCUUGUCGGGUAAGUUCCGACCUGCACGAAUGGCGUAAUGAUGGCCAGGCUGUCUCCACCCGAGACUCAGUGAAAUUGAACUCGCUGUGAAGAUGCAGUGUACCCGCGGCAAGACGGAAAGACCCCGUGAACCUUUACUAUAGCUUGACACUGAACAUUGAGCCUUGAUGUGUAGGAUAGGUGGGAGGCUUUGAAGUGUGGACGCCAGUCUGCAUGGAGCCGACCUUGAAAUACCACCCUUUAAUGUUUGAUGUUCUAACGUUGGCCCGUUAUCCGGGUUGCGGACAGUGUCUGGUGGGUAGUUUGACUGGGGCGGUCUCCUCCUAAAGAGUAACGGAGGAGCACGAAGGUUGGCUAAUCCUGGUCGGACAUCAGGAGGUUAGUGCAAUGGCAUAAGCCAGC